CCACACAGAGUGUAACGGCUGAUGGCAAAAGCAUGUUUCUUGCCGCCAGAGUCGCCAUGAUCUUCGGCGGUUGCUGGAGGCUGGAGCUUCCGACCAAUUCGUCACUGUGGAGGCAUUUCUAUUCUGUAUACUCGAUUUUGGCGUAUGUAAUGAUUGGCACAUCGGCGUUUUCAUUGGGUGCGAAUGUACCGUCUUUGUUAGAAAUGAAUGUCUUAACAGCGAUAGAAUGCGGCGCUCAAGGAUUAUUUUGUGCAGUCUUGGUGGCCAAAAUGAUAGCUUGCCAGUCUAAAGGCAACAUUCAAUUAAUACGAUCUGCCAGAUGUCAAGAAAUGCAAUUAUUGACUCAAGAAGCAACCAUAUUAACUCGCAUAUACAACCAACAUAUAAAGUACUGCUACAAGCUGACCAUAAGCAUAAGUGUCGUAUCUAUAUCGACGUCCGUGGCGGUGGUGGAACAUGGGAUUAGAGAAAAUGUUUUAUUUAACUUCCACAACAAAAAUACCACCCUGGAAGGUCCGCAUACCAUGUAUUUCUGGUAUCCAUUCGAAACGAAAAAUUACCACACGUGGGUUUUAAUAGAUGAAUCCGUUAGGGCGUUUUUUAUUGGAAUAUGUAACGUAUCCGUGAACGUAUUCAUAAAUUCCGUGAUGAUAUUUCUCAGAGCACAACUGGUAGUCCUCCAACAGGAAUUUAGAAAUUUUUGUGAUAAGAGUGGUAAAAGGAAAGUCGCGGGGUCCAAGUUAUUAAGAGUGUUGUGCCUUAAGCAUCAAAAAUUAAUCAAGUACUACGAAAAUUUCAACGACUCGUUAAAGUUUCUAGUGCUUUUGGAAUACGUUAUGUCUUCUCUUAUAACUGCGUCAACAAUAAUUGAGAUUAUCUCGGGACAAAACGUCACAUUCAGUGUCGGAUUGUUCCUAACCAAUUUCGGAGGGCUUAUGAUUAUCGCGUGGAAUUCCAACGAAAUCAUACUACAGUCGUCUGUUGCAGAGUGCUGCCUUGGCUACAGCGCUUUAUGAAAGUGGGUGGUACUACCAAGAUCACGAAACGCAAGUUUUGCUGCACCUGAUGAUGAUUAGAUGUCAGAAACCUCUGACGAUUUCCAUUGGACCUUUUGGAUCCAUGACGGUAGAUGCAGGGAUGUCAAGACUGAGACUGGCGUAUUCCUAUACUACAGUUAUGGGUCGCAAGAUGUAGCACUUAGCAUAAGUUCCUUUCUUUGUCCUUACUUACCGUUAUACUUCAAAAAUCAUUUAAACACGUAUGAUAUGCACGUAUUGUAAAUAAG